rnacentral:rRNA from 1 species
CCUACGGGUGGCAGCAGUGAGGAAUAUUGGUCAAUGAGCGCGAGCCUGAACCAGCCAAGUAGCGUGAAGGAUGACUGCCCUACGGGUUGUAAACUUCUUUUAUAAAGGAAUACAGUGAGGCUCGUGUGCCUUUUUGUAUGUACUUUAUGAAUAAGGAUCGUGUAACUCCGUGCCAGCAGCCGCGGUAAGACGGAGGAUCCGAGCGUUAUCCGGUUGGAUUGGGUUUAAAGGGAGCGUAGAUGGGUUGUUAAGUCAGUUGUGAAAGUUUGGGGCUUAACCGUAAAAUUGCAAUUGAUACUGGCAGCCUUGAGUACAGUAGAGGUAGGCGGAAUUCGUGGUGAAGCGGUGAAAUGCGUAGAUAUCACGAAGAACUCCGAUUGCGAAGGCAGCCUACUGAACUGCCACUGACACUGAUGCUCGAAAGUGUGGGGAUCAAACAGGAUUAGAUACCCGGGUAGUC